rnacentral:rRNA from 1 species
CGGGAUGCAGCACCAGUGGGGAAUAUUGCGCAAUGGGGGAAACCCUGACGCAGCAACGCCGCGUGAAGGAAGAAGGUCUUCGGAUUGUAAACUUUUGUCUUAUGGGAAGAACAAGGACGGUACCAUAGGAGGAAGCCACGGCUAACUACGUGCCAGCAGCCGCGGUAAUACGUAGGUGGCAAGCGUUGUCCGGAUUUACUGGGUGUAAAGGGCGUGUAGGCGGGUAGGUAAGUCAGAUGUGAAAUACCGGGGCUCAACCCCGGAGCUGCAUUUGAAACUGCUUAUCUUGAGUAUCGGAGAGGAAAGCGGAAUUCCCAGUGUAGCGGUGAAAUGCGUAGAUAUUGGGAGGAACACCAGUGGCGAAGGCGGCUUUCUGGACGACAACUGACGCUGAGGCGCGAAAGCGUGGGUAGCAAACAGGAUUAGAUACCCUAGUAGUC